GGGGGUGACAAGUUUCGACAGGCGUACGUCACGCUCCGGCAGCAGGUACCGGUUGGCCAGGCCGGUCUAAAAAUGGCUAAAAAAAUAAUCGGCAAUAACACCGAACUUAAUUGGGCUUUGGCCUAAUUACCGUAUCUCCUCCGUCUCCCAUGCGGGAGAGAAUGCGGUCACUAAAUGGGAUGCUGUUUUAAGAGCGCGUUUCGUCUUUUAAAACUUAAGACUAACGGAACAAACAAAACUCCGGCGGUUACGGGCCUUGGGUUUUGUUAACAACCGUAACUAAACCUGUAGCGGCCGGGACUUAACUAUGCUUGGACGGGAGUGCGAAUCUCCCCACCUCCAC
rnacentral:tmRNA from 1 species